UAUGGUAAUUGUGUGCCAGCCUCCGCUUUACUACGUAGGUGGCAAGCGUUGUCCGGAAUUACUGGGUGUAAAGGGAGCGUAGGCGGGGAGACAAGUUGAAUGUCUAAACUAUCGGCUUAACUGAUAGUCGCGUUCAAAACUAUCACUCUUGAGUGCAGUAGAGGUAGGCGGAAUUCCUAGUGUAGCGGUGAAAUGCGUAGAUAUUAGGAGGAACACCAGUGGCGAAGGCGGCCUACUGGGCUGUAACUGACGCUGAGGCUCGAAAGCGUGGGUAGCAAACAGG
rnacentral:rRNA from 1 species